UGGGGUGAAGUCGUAACAAGGUAACCGUAGGGGAACCUGCGGUUGGAUCACCUCCUUACCAAAAAGA
rnacentral:rRNA from 1 species